GAGAAUUUGGACCAAAAAAGUAGAAGACCAAAGUCAGUCCCCAACAUUCACUGAGAACCGAGGACCCAGAAUCUAAAGCAGAGCAACGGAGAACUGACAUAAUUGCCAGGAUGAAGCUUGGACUGUGGGAUUAUCUUUCUGGUAUUCAAAGAAGCUGAUAAAUUUCCACCCUCCCCUUCCCUCCACAAGGAUUAUUACAAGAGCCGUUGGUAAGAUCUGUUAUUUCACAGAAAAAUGGGCUUUUGAACGUUAGUCAGAUUGUCGGGCUAAAUCUCUUGAGUGUGUGGCUUGAACUUCUGUCGGGAUGACGUUUUUAUUCAUUCAGGAAGCAUUUACUAAACACUUGCUAAGAAGAAUGCACAAUAUGGGGGAACGCCAGAAAAACUCAGAACUGUGCUCCCAAGGUCUUGGCAAGGUUGGGGAGAACGGCACAGAGGAGAAGCACACAGAGGAAAGCUUUUUUGCCAAGUCAGGAUGCACAGCCCUGGAGGAGGUUCCAUGAAGUCGCUGGAUCAAGGACCAGGAGACGGGAGUGCUAAGUAGCGGAUGUUGGGGGCAGGACAAGAACCACAAGAGCCACCGGAAGACUUCGCCAAGCCCUGCCAUUCACCAGAAGCGAUGGCCUCCUCUAGAGUGUCUCCAUGUGUCCAUAAGGCUUCUGUCAUCUCAGGUUUUACUGCCAAGUAAAAAUGAAAUUUCUUCUCGUGUUCUCCAAGCCAUCAAGCUCUUACGUGGCCCUGUGAACUUUCAAACAUUCGUAUUUCUUAUGUCUCCUAUGUGAUUAAAUAUGUGGCCUACCAAAUAUUGUAGAAGAGGGCAAAAAGAAAGAUACGUCAUGAAGAAAAAUACCCACGGCUCUAAAGUAUAAAAUCACACAAUUGGUUUGGGCCAGUAAGAUCUGGAUACAAUACUUUUUUUUUUUUCUUUUGAGUUUUAAUCUGUAGUCAUCAAUGACAUGAAAAUGUACAAAGUCACCUCCAAACAAUAAGCAUCUUAGAUAAAAGAAGCUGAAAAAAUUUCAGAUUCUCAGCUCAUCAUCUUACUAUUCAUGUUAUUUCUGGGUUAAUUUCUUGACUCCAAAGAAUACAGUGAAUGAAACUAAUUCAGUUGUUUUCAUCUUCUGUGCCUCUGAGGCUGGCUUAUGCUCUUGAACACAUUUUGUGCUCAGAAAAAAAUCUCUAGGGUUGCAAAUGUUCUGAGCAUGCUGAAGCGAUCCAUCCUUUUUUUUUUUUUCAAUUUAACUGUAAGGAACUGAUACAAACCAAUUUUAUGAAUUUUUAACAAUGUCAUUUAGAACAAAAUAUAAAUGUGAUAGAGAUAAAAAGGUUUUGAAUAAUCAAUGUGCUAUCCUCAAUAACUCCAAGAGAAUGGAAAAUUGGGCAAGUUGUUAAAAAGGGCAAGAUGAACUCUAUAAAAAUAACAAACGAAGCCUGUAACAAUCUAAGCACCGAGGAAUUAGUGAAGGUAAUUAAAUAUUAUGAACAUUUUCAAAGGAAACAAAACAAAUCAGGAGCUAAAAAAAAAAAAAAGACACCCAUUGAAAGGGAAACUGUACAAUUCAAUAAUUAGAUGAGUGUCUUUGGCUCCUUAUUCAUUCUAACAAAAAUGUGAAACCACAGUAAAAACACAAACGACAUGUGCUCCAAGGAGUCCGACUGUUCCACUGUAGCUAUAAAAUUCUCCAAUCACCUGCACAAGCAUUAAGGAAAAGUUAAACAAAAAAGAGACACCUAGAGGCUAGCGAUCACCGUGCUGCUUCUGUUGAGAGCAGCCAUGGAUGGACAGAGACAGGACGUGUGGAGGGGAGCUCUCUCAGGAGCCAGCUGUGCCCACGGGUCCUCUCAGGAUUUACACCUUACAAAAUAAAUCCAAGACAAGAGGCA
ensembl:lncRNA